UACGGGGGGGGCAAGCGUUGUUCGGAAUUACUGGGCGUAAAGGGCUCGUAGGCUGCCAACUAAGUCGGACGUGAAAUCCCUCGGCUUAACCGGGGAACUGCGUCCGAUACUGGAUGGCUUGAGUUUGGGAGAGGGAUGCGGAAUUCCAGGUGUAGCGGUGAAAUGCGUAGAUAUCUGGAGGAAUACCGGUGGCGAAGGCGGCAUCCUGGACCAUAACUGACGCUGAGGCGCGAAAGCUAGGGGAGCAAACGGG
rnacentral:rRNA from 1 species